GUUGGUCCAGGUCUGGCAAGCUGUGUUAAAGAUCAGCCUUUGAGGAGCAAACCCCCACCCCAGCUCAGCCUGCGAGAGUACAAUUAGCUCAUGAUACAAACCCACCACAGUCACACAAGUAGAGAUUCAUUAGACUGGCAAAAAGAGCUCCAAGCCUUUCUUCCUGGAAUGGCAUUUCCAUCAACGGAUCAUUUUUCUGGCACAACUAUGCCAGGACACACAUCCAUAGGCUUGGAAUUAUAUGCAAAGCUUUGGGAAUGGAGCUGUGGCCACAGAAGGUUGAGCAGCUGAUGAAGAACCAUGGCACCACAGAGAGCAACACUGGGAAUUGUGCAACACCUCUGGGACCUGCUCUGCUCCAGGGAACACUG